GGGCAUGAUAGACCCUAUAGGGCGAUGAAUUAGCCGCCGCGAAUCGCCCUUAGAGUUUGAUCCUGGCUCAGAUUGAACGCUGGCGGCAGGCCUAAUACAUGCAAGUCGAACGGUAACAUAAGAAAGCUUGCUUUCUUGAUGACGAGUGGAGGACGGGUGAGUAAUAUUUGGGAAGCUACCUGAUAGAGGGGGACAACAGUUGGAAACGACUGCUAAUACCGCAUACAGCCUGAGGGUGAAAGCAGCAAUGCGCUAUCAGAUGCGCCCAAACGGGAUUAGCUAGUAGGUGAGGUAAAGGCUCACCUAGGCGACGAUCUCUAGCUGGUCUGAGAGGAUGAUCAGCCACAUUGGGACUGAGACACGGCCCAGACUCCUACGGGAGGCAGCAGUAGGGAAUAUUGCACAAUGGAGGAAACUCUGAUGCAGCCAUGCCGCGUGUGUGAAGAAGGCCUUCGGGUUGUAAAGCACUUUCGGAGGGGAGGAACAAAUGACGUUACCCUCAGAAGAAGCACCGGCUAACUCCGUGCCAGCAGCCGCGGUAAUACGGAGGGUGCAAGCGUUAAUCGGAAUAACUGGGCGUAAAGGGCAUGCAGGCGGUUUAUCAAGUAGGAUGUGAAAGCCCCGGGCUCAACCUGNGAAUUGCAUUCUAAACUGAUAGACUAGAGUAUUGCAGGGGGAGACGGAGUUCCAGGUGUAGCGGUGGAAUGCGUAGAUAUCUGGAAGAACACCAAAGGCGAAGGCAGUCUCCUGGGCAAAUACUGACGCUCAUAUGCGAAAGCGUGGGUAGCAAACAGGAUUAGAUACCUCGUAGUACACUCAGUAUAUGAUGUCUAGUAGGAGCUUGGGGUUAAGUCUGGGUUCCGCAGCAUACGCAAUAAAUUGACCGCUUGGGGAGUACGACCGCAAGGUUAUAAGUCAAAUGAAUUGACGGGGGCCAGCACAAGCGGUGGAGCAUGUGAUUUAAUUGGAGGCUACUCGAAGAACCAUACCAGACUUGACAUCGCGAGAACGUGUUUGAAGGGAGAGGGUCCUUUCGGGAACUCGCAGACAGGUGGUACAUGACUGUCGUCAGUUGGCGUAGUGAGAUGAUGGGUUCAGUCCCUAGAAGAGUGCAACCCUUGUCAGUUGUUACCAGCGUGAUAAAUCCUGGGAAGUCCAAAGGAGAGAUGCCAGCGACGAGUAGGAGGAAGGCAGGGAAGAAGUCAAGUCAUCAUGGCCGUAUCGGUCAGGGCUACACACGUGUUACAAUGGGGCGUAACAGAGGGAAAAGAUAUCCGUGAGGUGGAGUGGAACCCACUAUGCAGUCCCCAACCUAGGAAUGGAUUAUGCAACUUGAAUUCAUGAAGUAGGAAUCGAAUAGUUAUUACAAAUCAGUAUGAUUCGGAGAAUAUGGUCCUCGGGACCUUGUACACAGAUCGCCACGUNCAAGGGUCAGAACUUUAUAUGAAACAAUGCAGGAGCGAGUCCAAUUUAGUGAGGCUAAUUNUGGUUGUAGUCUGCCC
rnacentral:rRNA from 1 species